UGGAAACGAUUCUGGGGGUCUUCCCGGCUCCCAGCACCCCCAAGAAGAUGGCUGCCGAUAAAUCUCGCGAGAAUUGAUAAAAGUCUCGCGGUGACUCCUGAAGCCUGCUGGGAAGAGACAGGGGGAAAGCCUUUGUAUUCAGAAGGCUCGGGAGCCAGGCCGUGGCGCUUCACUGGACAAGCCUGUUGGAGCGCGUGUCUCUGGCGCCAGCGUUUCCAGGUGUGUGGCUCUGCGCUCCCUCCGGCCGUGUGUUGUGUGCGAACCGGACAAGACAGAGGAGCACGAGCUGGCUGAUCAUACUCAAGUCUCCAGAGGACUAAUCUCACGUCCGAAGUUACUCGACUCGGCUGAGCAUUAGUGACUUCGGGAAACCCUCAAAUGAAGGGGGGGGGGCAUAACAAUUCUAGUAAUUUCCGACAUCUGGAACUUUGAGACUCUCCACCACCCCCAUUCCGACCAGCGAUAAAGCGAGUAGUGGAGUUGGUGUUUUGCUGUUUAAUUCUCAAUCAGAGCAGCUCUAGCCCCGGGUAGGGAAGACUACACAGUAUGAGAAGGGAUGGAGAGGUCUUCAUAUCAGCAGCCCAAAUAAAUUUCCCUGAUGGCUGGUGAAACAAA